rnacentral:rRNA from 1 species
UACAGAGGGGGCAAGCGUUAUUCGGAAUUAUUGGGCGUAAAGGGCGCGUAGGCGGCCUGGCAAGUGGAAGGUGAAAUCCCUCGGCUUAACCGAGGAACUGCCCUCCAAACUGCUUGGCUUGAGUCCGGGAGAGGUGAGUGGAAUUCCCAGUGUAGCGGUGAAAUGCGCAGAUAUCAGGAAGAACGCCCGUGGCGAAGGCGGCUCUCUGGAACGCAACUGACGCUGAGACGCGAAAGCGUGGGGAGCAAACAGG